UACGUAGGGGGCAAGCGUUGUCCGGAAUCAUUGGGCGUAAAGAGCGCGUAGGCGGUCCUGUAAGUCCGCUCUGAAAGUCCGGGGCUCAACCCCGGGAGGCGGGCGGAUACUGUCGGGCUAGAGUCCGGAAGAGGCGAGUGGAAUUCCGGGUGUAGCGGUGGAAUGCGUAGAGAUCCGGAAGAACACCGGUGGCGAAGGCGGUCUGCUGGGCAGUAGCUGACACUGAGGCGCGACAGCGUGGGGAGCAAACAGG
rnacentral:rRNA from 1 species